rnacentral:sRNA from 1 species
CUUAAUUGUCCAGUAUUCUGUAAUGUUAUCUAUUUACCUGUUGAAUCUUUUUCCUCUAACCCUCAAAACAAACACUCCAAGGCUGAAUCUGAACAGGCUCCACCCACAGAGCCAAAAGCAGAGGAGCCUCUGGCUGCUGUCACACCUGCCGUUGGGCUGGACCUUGGAAUGGACACUCGGGCUGAGGAGCCAGUGGAGGAGGCAGUGAUCAUACCUGGAGCUGAUGCUGAUGCAGCUGUUGGAACCUUGGUGUCAGCAGCUGAGGGGGCCCCAGGAGAGGAAGCAGAGGCGGAGAAGGCCACUGUCCCUGCCGGGGAAGGAGUAAGUUUAGAGGAGGCCAAAAUUGGAACUGAAACCACUGAGGGUGCAGAGAGUGCCCAACCUGAAGCAGAGGAGCUGGAAGUAACAGUGCCUCAGGAGAAGGUCAUUCCUUCGGUGGUCAUAGAGCCUGCCUCCAACCAUGAAGGGGAAGGAGAAAACGAAAUAACUAUAGGUGCAGAGCCCAAGGAGACCACCGAGGACGCGGCUCCUCCGGGCCCCACCA